UACGUAGGCAGCGAGCGUUGUUCGGAGUUACUGGGCGUAAAGAGUGCGUAGGCGGUUUUCUAAGUUUGGUGUGAAAUCUCCCGGCUUAACUGGGAGGGUGCGCCGAAAACUGGAAGGCUUGAGUAUGGGAGAGGUAAGCGGAAUUCCUGGUGUAGCGGUGAAAUGCGUAGAUAUCUGGAGGAACACCGGUGGCGAAGGCGGCAUCCUGGACCAACAUUGACGCUGAGGAGCGAAAGCUAGGGGAGCAAACGGG
rnacentral:rRNA from 1 species